rnacentral:lncRNA from 1 species
CUGAAGGUGUUGAAUGCAAGCAACAUGUAAGUCACAUUUAUUGUAGUCUUUUGCUUGAUUAUGGAUUGCAAUUUGGAAAUUACGUCAAGAAUAGCAUGUCACGUUUAGCUUCACAACGAGGAUGAACUGAGCGACAAUACGACAAAUGAAUAAUACCACAAAUUUCAGUCCAUAAGCUACUUGUUGCAAUCUGUUUUGUUGCACUUGCUGUAGCUUAUUCAAAGACAGCAAUGGAAUUGUAGGUAGAAGUGGCAAAAGUAUGUAGACCUCAAAUUUCUGUAUAUUGGCAUGGGAGAGAUAUACAGACACUUCAACAAUGAUUCAUAGAUGAAUAUGAAAUAAGUUCACAUCUGCCAAAAAAACGUGAUGAGUUCACCUAAUGAGUUCAUAGAUAAAACUAAAUGAGUUCACAACGCAGAAUGUAGAUGAGCUCACCGCUGAUAUAAGCUCACGGCUCAGAGAAAUUGAAGGAAUUGAGUUCAAAUACAAGAAAACUACUUGAUGAAAUAAGUCUGAAACUCCGUGUUUGGAAGUUGAUUUAUGUUUAAUAAUAUAAAUGUGUGCAUCAUUUGAUGCAGAGGCCCGGGUAAUCCCCUUUUUGAAAUAAAAUAUGUGUAACAUCAAUUUCAUAGGGAUCAAUCAUCCAAUUUGUAGCUUUCUCUUUGGUAUAAGCUUCUUUGUUGGAUAUGUGGCGUUGGAAUGAGACUAAUGUUACAGCCCAAUAAGCGGUAUGUGAUAGCAUGCCUUCUCUGUGUCGACGGGCCAUAUUAAACUCAUCUUUGUCCGGCAGGACAGUGGAGUGAUUUGGAGACGUACUAAACAUUUCUCUCCUCGGAGAAGAAAUUCCCAACUCCACAAACAGUUGAUGUUCUUCCAGGUCGCUACAGUGAUGGAGUCAAUUCAUUGGUACAACACCGGCAUGAGCACAAAGGCAACUCGCCGGCGGUCAUAUGUCCAUGGAAAAAAAAUACUAAUUACUUCAUAUUUCUUGUUGUAAUUUCAGUGAUGACUUUCGGGUAGAACCAGGGUGGCUUCCUGGCGUCGUCGAGAGUAGCUCUGCCACUGAGUCGCUGGAUCUACUUGCAAGUAGUGGAGCGCCCUAACUCAUUCAGAUCCGUAAGCAUCCUUUGUUUCCUUCUUUUUGGUUGUUUGAAUCGUUUGAUUCCACUUUGUUUUCAGUGCAAAGAAUAACUACCGCCAGUUAGAUCGACCUGUGAUGAUAAUAUAUGUGAUUAAUUUAUGUUUGUCAUCCUCGUGUUCUUGUACGAUUAACAUCUACCACUACAUCAUCUAUUUUUGGAAUGAAAUUUAACUAAUGUAUAUAUAUACUUUUGUG